rnacentral:rRNA from 1 species
CAGUAGGGAAUCUUCCGCAAUGGGCGAAAGCCUGACGGAGCAACGCCGCGUGAGUGAUGAAGGUCUUCGGAUCGUAAAACUCUGUUAUUAGGGAAGAACAAAUGUGUAAGUAACUAUGCACAUCUUGACGGUACCUAAUCAGAAAGCCACGGCUAACUACGUGCCAGCAGCCGCGGUAAUACGUAGGUGGCAAGCGUUAUCCGGA